rnacentral:lncRNA from 1 species
GUGGUGGAUCUGUUAGAUUAUUGUGACGGGAUUGCUUCCCUUAGAAAACUUAGUAGAUACUUAGUCAGCCGUAAGCGGUUGAGUUAAGGAAGUACUUCUUUAGCUCAGUCGGUUAGCGCGCUGCCUUGUAACACAGAGGUCCCGGGUUCGAGUCCCGGUGGAGACAAGCAAUUUUGUAAUGAAAUUCGUGCUCUCCGGUUACAUUAUGAUAACAUAGAUAAAUUGAUAAUGUUAUCACCAAGAGGAGACUUUCUAGGGACUUACUCUGAACACCCUGAUGUCAAGCCAUUAAUACCUGUAGGAAUACUAACAACGCCAUCAGAUAAUAUCAUUGUUACAGUUAUGGACAAUCUUUCAUUACAUAUACUGACUGACCAAG